CUGACAUUAGAUACCCCUGUAGUCCCAGCCGUAAACAAUGUGCGUUAGGUGUGUCGGUAACCACGCGUUACUGAUGCGCCGAAGAGAAAUCGUGAAACGCACCACCUGGGAAGUACGGUCGCAAGGCUGAAACUUAAAGGAAUUGGCGGGGGAGCACCACAACAGGUGGAGCCUGCGGUUUAAUUGGAUUCAACGCCGGACAUCUCACCGGAUAAGACAGCUGAAUGAUUGUCAAUCUGAAGGUUUUACAUGACUAGCUG
rnacentral:rRNA from 1 species